rnacentral:rRNA from 1 species
AUUGAACGCUGGCGGCAGGCCUAACACAUGCAAGUCGAACGGGUGUCGGACGUGUGACUAAUUUCUGUGAAACUGCCUGAUUGAGGGGGAUAACUCCUGUAAACGUUCGCUAAUACCGCAUACCCUCGGCUGUGCCCAGAUGGGAUUAGCUAGUCGGUGGGGUAACGGCUCACCUAGGCGACGAUCCCUAGCUGGUCUGAGAGGAUGACGAGACACACUGGAACUGAGAAACGGCAGAGAGUCUGACGGGAGGCAGGAGUGGGGAAUAGCGGAGAAUGGGGGCAAGCAUGAUGAAGCAAUGCUGCGUGUAGGAAGAAGGGCAUCGGGUGGGAAAGUACUUUCAGGGGGGAGGCGUUACCGGCAGAAGAAGCACCGGCAAAAUACGAGCGAGCAGCCGCGGUAAUUC